rnacentral:rRNA from 1 species
UACGUAGGUGGCAAGCGUUGUCCGGAUUUAUUGGGUUUAAAGGGUGCGUAGGCGGCUUUGUAAGUCAGUGGUGAAAUACGGUAGCUCAACUAUCGAGGUGCCAUUGAUACUGCGGAGCUUGAGUACAGAUGAGGUAGGCGGAAUUGACGGUGUAGCGGUGAAAUGCUUAGAUAUCGUCAAGAACACCUAUAGCGAAGGCAGCUUACUAGGCUGUAACUGACGCUGAGGCACGAAAGUGUGGGUAGCAAACAGG